CGGUUAGCUUGGCAAAUGCGCUCGUCUGUUCUCAUUUUCCACUGUGCCGUCAGCCACGGCAUGACUCUCUUCCUACGGCCGCCGCUUCUGGUCACCGCCCGCCUAGCUAUCAGCCACCCGCCAUACCUACCACAGAAGGUGGAGGCGAAAGGCGUAAUAGCGGCUUCUUGCCCCUCGCUUGCUCACGAGAAGCCUAGCUUCAACCUCGAGUCUGUAUCAUCUUCUUCAUUGACCGCCGCCACUGCGCUCCAGUGUCUACAUUUCCAAUCGUGCUCGGGGUGCUCGCAGGAAUGGGAUUUGGACCAGCCACACAUAGUUACAGAAGCCAAAAAAUUCUUUAAGGAACUCGGCAUCUCUGAUUUGAACUUCGAGAGUGGAAUGUUGGCGGAAUGGAGAUGUCGAGCUAAGUUGGCUGUUCGAGGAACAUCAGAAAGGCCAUUAAUAGGGUUAUACGAAGAGGGAACACAUAACGUUGUUGAUAUUCCUUUGUGCAGAGCACACCACCCAAACAUUAAUGUUGCAGUUAACCUUUUAAAACAAGGUAUUUCUGCAUUAAAUAUUCAACCUUAUGAUGAGGACCUAGGAACUGGUGAACUGCGUUAUGUUCAGAUUGCAGUGACGACAUAUAACACAUCCCUUCCAGCAGCAGAGAGAUAUCAAAAUGGAAAAGUGCAGGUAUCACUGGUUUGGAAUUCCAGAAAUGAGCAGUCAGAGAGUUAUAAAAAGCUGAAUGCAUUGGCUGAGUUUUUAUGGAGAAAUGCGGGACCAAAAAGUAACAGUCAUUUAUUUCACUCCAUAUGGGUUAACUUUCAGACAUCAUCAAGCAAUAUUAUCUUUGGAAAUAGGUGGAGGCUUCUGCUCGGGGAAAGAGAUUUCUGGGAACAUAUUGGAGGUAUUGAUGUUUGCCUGGAUCCUUGUAGCUUUGGCCAGGCAAAUACACAGGCUUUUAAUUCCUUGUUAAGGAAACUGCAGAAAUAUGUUCCAUAUGGAUCAUCUGUUGUUGAUUUAUAUGCAGGAGCAGGUGUCAUUGGACUAUCUGUAGCUGCCACCAGGAAAUGUAGGUCCCUGAGAUGUGUUGAGAUAAACAAAGAGUCAAAAUUAUCUUUUGAAAAAUCAUUAAGCCGUUUUCCGAAACAUAUAGAUUGUAGUGUACAUUGGCAUAAUACAGAUGCAUCAAUUGAACCUCUUCACUGGUUGAAAGGGUCAAAUGUUGUUAUUGUGGAUCCCCCAAGAAAAGGAGUUGAGCAAUCUCUACUAGACGCGUUAAGGGAAAUUUCUAAAUGUAAAGAUUCCAAAGUACCUAAGAGCUCCAUCAUAAACGAAAAAGAAGAAAAGAGACCGUGGAUUUUGCGUGCAAGGAAAGCCACAGUUCAUGUGGAAAGCAAGACCAGUAUUAACUGGGCGAAAGAUCAGACAUGGCCUGAAUUUAUCAUCUAUGUAAGCUGUGGUUGGGAAAGCUUCAAGGAGAAUUGUCAGUAUUUGCUGUUCAACAAUGCUUGGCAUUUGGAAAAGGCUCAUGCUUUCAAUUUCUUUCCUGGUACCGAGAGCAUAGAGAUCCUGGCUCUGUUCAAACGGGGUCCUCGGGCUAAUCAUACGAAAAAGAAGUCAGGAAAAAAGAAGAAACCUUGAUGAUCGACCUUUGAAAGGUUAUCGGAAGCCCACCGUUUUAUGUGACCAAGCCAUAAGCUUGGGAGCAGUGAAUCAACUUGAUCAUGAUCAUUAAGAUUGUAGAUUGGCAUUAUAAAGGAGUACAUUAACUACAUGAUUGUAGAUUGAUCAUGUUAAAUCAACUACAUGAUUUUUUUUUCAUGACUUUGACGAUGAAGAAAAAGUAUGCCAAUUUCAUUAUUUUCAAUAUGAAACUUGCGUCUUAUAUUAGUGAAUUAGCGUUAAAUCAUACUUGAAUUUAAAGCUUGUUAAUGUUCAUGGAUCUGGAUAUGCUUUUUCCCAA